rnacentral:rRNA from 1 species
AACGAACGCUGGCGGCGGGCUUAACACAUGCAAGUCGAGCGCCCCGCAAGGGGAGCGGCAGACGGGUGAGUAACGCGUGGGAAUCUACCCAUCUCUACGGAACAACGCAUGGAAACGUGUGCUAAUACCGUAUACGUCCUUCGGGAGAAAGAUUUAUCGGAGAUGGAUGAGCCCGCGUUGGAUUAGCUAGUUGGUGGGGUAAAGGCCUACCAAGGCGACGAUGCAUAGCUGGUCUGAGAGGAUGAUCAGCCACACUGGGACUGAGACACGGCCCAGACUCCUACGGGAGGCAGCAGUGGGGAAUAUUGGACAAUGGGCGCAAGCCUGAUCCAGCCAUGCCGCGUGAGUGAUGAAGGCCCUAGGGUUGUAAAGCUCUUUCACCGGUGAAGAUAAUGACGGUAACCGGAGAAGAAGCCCCGGCUAACUUCGUGCCAGCCGCCGCGGUAACAC